rnacentral:tRNA from 1 species
UCGGGGCGUAGCGCAGCUUGGUAGCGCACUACUUUGGGGUAGUAGGGGUCGUGAGUUCGAAUCUCGCCGCUCCGAU